rnacentral:rRNA from 1 species
AUUGAACGCUGGCGGCAGGCCUAACACAUGCAAGUCGAGCGCGAAAGUUCUUCGGAAUGAGUAAAGCGGCGGACGGGUGAGUAAUACAUGGGAAUCUGCCUGGUAGUGGGGGACAACGUUUCGAAAGGAACGCUAAUACCGCAUACGCCCUACGGGGGAAAGGGGGAGAUCUUCGGACCUCUCGCUAUCAGAUGAGCCCA